ensembl:rRNA 5S_rRNA 5S ribosomal RNA
AUCUACGGCCAUGCUACCUUGAGCAAGCCUGAUCCUGUCUGAUCUCAGAAGCUAAGCAGGAUCGGGCUUGGUUAGUACUUGGUUGAGAGACCACCUAGGAAGACCAGGUGCUGUAAGCG